UUACUUUCAACAACGGAUCUCUUGGCUCUCGCAUCGAUGAAGAACGUAGCGAAGUGCGAUAAGUAAUGUGAAUUGCAGAAUUCCGUGAAUCAUCGAAUCUUUGAACGCAAAUUGCACUUUCUGGUAUUCCGGAAAGUAUGCCUGU
rnacentral:rRNA from 1 species